rnacentral:rRNA from 1 species
GUCUACAACCAUACCACUCUGAACGUGCCCAAUCGGGUCUGAGCUUGGAAGCUAAGCGGGAUUGAGCCUGGUAGCACUUGGAAGGGAGAAAGUCAUUGCCUUUGCCUAUAUCUUCAAGUGUUUUCCGGCAGUAGUUU